GCUUGCUUCUCUUGAGAGCGGCGGACGGGUGAGUAAUGCCUAGGAAUCUGCCUGGUAGUGGGGGAUAACGUUCGGAAACGGACGCUAAUACCGCAUACGUCCUACGGGAGAAAGCAGGGGACCUUCGGGCCUUGCGCUAUCAGAUGAGCCUAGGUCGGAUUAGCUAGUUGGUGGGGUAAUGGCUCACCAAGGCGACGAUCCGUAACUGGUCUGAGAGGAUGAUCAGUCACACUGGAACUGAGACACGGUCCAGACUCCUACGGGAGGCAGCAGUGGGGAAUAUUGGACAAUGGGCGAAAGCCUGAUCCAGCCAUGCCGCGUGUGUGAAGAAGGUCUUCGGAUUGUAAAGCACUUUAAGUUGGGAGGAAGGGUUGUAGAUUAAUACUCUGCAAUUUUGACGUUACCGACAGAAUAAGCACCGGCUAACUCUGUGCCAGCAGCCGCGGUAAUACAGAGGGUGCAAGCGUUAAUCGGAAUUACUGGGCGUAAAGCGCGCGUAGGUGGUUUGUUAAGUUGGAUGUGAAAUCCCCGGGCUCAACCUGGGAACUGCAUUCAAAACUGACUGACUAGAGUAUGGUAGAGGGUGGUGGAAUUUCCUGUGUAGCGGUGAAAUGCGUAGAUAUAGGAAGGAACACCAGUGGCGAAGGCGACCACCUGGACUAAUACUGACACUGAGGUGCGAAAGCGUGGGGAGCAAACAGGAUUAGAUACCCUGGUAGUCCACGCCGUAAACGAUGUCAACUAGCCGUUGGAAGCCUUGA
rnacentral:rRNA from 1 species